rnacentral:misc_RNA from 1 species
CUCUUUUCUUUUUUUUUCAAAUCCUGUAAGGCAUUAUCAUAUCAAUAAUUAGUUCAAUAUUACAUAGGAUGACACAUGCAUUACAAAAUAUUUGUAAAUAAAGCAUUUUCCACAACAAUAUUAUGAAAAUAUAUUUUAAUUGAGUGCCUUCUUAUCUACAAGAUAUAAUUGAGUACCUAAUUGCUCAGAAUACACUUGAAUAUAACCAACAUUUAAAGAGAAACUAUUUAUAGCAUCAUAUCUUUCCACAUACAAAAAAGCCUCAAUGCCGGCUGUCAUCGAUGGGCUAAGAUGACGGACAUUGCAGUGCACCAAAAGACACCUCUGAGACUACCUUGGCUCCCCUUCCCUUGGCCAUGUACAGGCCUAUGUGAUGCAUCAGCUCCUGUGGAUGUGCUAUAACAUCUUUGGCAGCUCUGGCAACAUGAAGUGGCAGGUCAAAGGUUGCACAAGCUUGAGAGAACACAAUCACGUCCUCUAGAGGAGCAAGAAAACCCCUAUUUCUAGCAGAUAGUGCUGAACAAACAAAAUCCAGCACGCAUAUAUCCGUGCAUAUCCCUACUACCAGUAUCUUCAAUAACAGAUAAUAUACUCCACAUUUUAGACAAGGAAGAAGAACCUUUACUUAACAUUUCUUAAUUAACUGCAGUCUCUUGGCAUUUUAACAGAAAAUACUUACAAUUUUAAUCUGAUUAUUCUUUAUCCAAUCUACAAACACAUUGGAGCCAUCUUUCUCAAUGCAACCCAGGAACCCAUCAAUGCAAUCCUUGCACCUUAGGGUGGCAUUAGCUUCAUUCUCCAACCACUGGAGUUCUGGAACAAGUCUUGCCUCAUCAGUUCCAGCAAUACAGUGAGGAGGGUAAGGGUGCUCGGGAAUGUCAGGAUGAUGAGAAUCAAUAAAACCGAAAACUGGCCAUUUAUUGUCACAGAAAGCUCUGGCAAGCCUCACAGACUCCUCAACCAUCGUAGAAAUUUGCUUGUCAGGCUGUUUUGGUGCCAAAUUGCCAGCGCCGACAGUACAGAAACCAUUAACAACAUCGACAAGAACAAGCCCAGUCUUAACAUCGCCGUUGAGAAGCAAAGAAUCUUGUUGGACAGGAAGCUCCUGCUUCAACAAAUCAAUCGAGUUGGACACCAUCUUCUUCUUCUUCUUCUUCUU